rnacentral:rRNA from 2 species
CAUGCAAGUCGAACGAACUCUGGUAUUGAUUGGUGCUUGCAUCAUGAUUUACAUUUGAGUGAGUGGCGAACUGGUGAGUAACACGUGGGAAACCUGCCCAGAAGCGGGGGAUAACACCUGGAAACAGAUGCUAAUACCGCAUAACAACUUGGACCGCAUGGUCCGAGUUUGAAAGAUGGCUUCGGCUAUCACUUUUGGAUGGUCCCGCGGCGUAUUAGCUAGAUGGUGAGGUAACGGCUCACCAUGGCAAUGAUACGUAGCCGACCUGAGAGGGUAAUCGGCCACAUUGGGACUGAGACACGGCCCAAACUCCUACGGGAGGCAGCAGUAGGGAAUCUUCCACAAUGGACGAAAGUCUGAUGGAGCAACGCCGCGUGAGUGAAGAAGGGUUUCGGCUCGUAAAACUCUGUUGUUAAAGAAGAACAUAUCUGAGAGUAACUGUUCAGGUAUUGACGGUAUUUAACCAGAAAGCCACGGCUAACUACGUGCCAGCAGCCGCGGUAAUACGUAGGUGGCAAGCGUUGUCCGGAUUUAUUGGGCGUAAAGCGAGCGCAGGCGGUUUUUUAAGUCUGAUGUGAAAGCCUUCGGCUCAACCGAAGAAGUGCAUCGGAAACUGGGAAACUUGAGUGCAGAAGAGGACAGUGGAACUCCAUGUGUAGCGGUGAAAUGCGUAGAUAUAUGGAAGAACACCAGUGGCGAAGGCGGCUGUCUGGUCUGUAACUGACGCUGAGGCUCGAAAGUAUGGGUAGCAAACAGGAUUAGAUACCCUGGUAGUCCAUACCGUAAACGAUGAAUGCUAAGUGUUGGAGGGUUUCCGCCCUUCAGUGCUGCAGCUAACGCAUUAAGCAUUCCGCCUGGGGAGUACGGCCGCAAGGCUGAAACUCAAAGGAAUUGACGGGGGCCCGCACAAGCGGUGGAGCAUGUGGUUUAAUUCGAAGCUACGCGAAGAACCUUACCAGGUCUUGACAUACUAUGCAAAUCUAAGAGAUUAGACGUUCCCUUCGGGGACAUGGAUACAGGUGGUGCAUGGUUGUCGUCAGCUCGUGUCGUGAGAUGUUGGGUUAAGUCCCGCAACGAGCGCAACCCUUAUUAUCAGUUGCCAGCAUUAAGUUGGGCACUCUGGUGAGACUGCCGGUGACAAACCGGAGGAAGGUGGGGAUGACGUCAAAUCAUCAUGCCCCUUAUGACCUGGGCUACACACGUGCUACAAUGGAUGGUACAACGAGUUGCGAACUCGCGAGAGUAAGCUAAUCUCUUAAAGCCAUUCUCAGUUCGGAUUGUAGGCUGCAACUCGCCUACAUGAAGUCGGAAUCGCUAGUAAUCGCGGAUCAGCAUGCCGCGGUGAAUACGUUCCCGGGCCUUGUACACACCGCCCGUCACACCAUGAGAGUUUGUAACACCCAAAGUCGGUGGGGUAACCUUUUAGGAACCAGCCGCCC